rnacentral:lncRNA from 1 species
AAUCAACCGCACACCAAUUUGGACCAUCUGCAGUGGGGAAAACCAUCAAACUGCGACGGUUUCGUCACCCAUGGUUUGUGUACCCGCACACAUGUCUUCCUCUUCCAAUGGUCUGAGACGAAGUCCCACAAGGCCGCACAUCCCCAUCUAAUUAAAAGCAGCGACACAAGACAUCAGAAUCAGUGUGCUCUCCGUUGGCCGAUGAAUAACCACCAACUUCUUCAUGCUAUUUAUGCCCCCAAUCUCACCUUUAUCUUCGUCUCAUCGCCUCCAGCUCAAACUCAGAUCUCGACAUGGCUUCCCUUGUUCUCAUCCUGGCGGAGCUCCUGCGGCCGGAAAAGGCCAAGCUGCUCACCGCCGCCGCCAACUGCCCGCCCAGCACUCGCUUUUCUCGUGAUGUCGUUGCUGCUGCUGGUGCUGCCGCCGGGAGAGGAAGGAGCGACAGGUGCAGAAGGACGAGAUCGUCUUCUGAGAUCGACAGCAGCGUCGAUGCGUUCGAGGAGGAUCCCACCGAGGCGAAGGUCUCCGUGGAAUCCAUUUGGUUUUAGACUUCUUGUUCCGAGUGACGGUGGCUGUAAAUGGUGGUUGGUGUCUUUGAUUUUUGAGUGUCGUGUAGCUCUUUGAAUCCAUCGCUCGAUGAACAGCUUGUGGACCUGUAAAAAUUAGAUGGAUGUGUUUAUAUCAUUUUCAAGUCCUUUCAGAUUCUGAAUUCGUGAUGAUUUUGGGCCAUUGUGACGUUCGUGAUGUACUUAUUAUUAUUAUUAUUAUUAUUAUUAUUAUUAUUAUCUAAUAAGAGAGAGCA